AUGGGCCGGGCGCCAGGCUGCUGGGUGUCAGGGCACCCGAGGGAGCCGGAGGUGGGGCGAGGCGUGGCGUGGAGCCGCAUGCUCACCUGGCCCUGCAUGGCAACAGGCAAUGGAGCUGUAGGUCCCAUCGGGAGCGGACCCGCGCCCGGUUCGAGAGGCAGCAGCGGGUGGCAGAGGAGGGAGGGCAAACUGGCAGCCCCUGGCAACCUGGGGCUGACGGCAGGAGGCUGGGCGCACCGCGGGUUUCCCCCCGCCAGCAGGAUGGUGAACCUGGAGUCCGUGCACGCAGCUGUCCCCGAAGGAGAACGUGGCCCCGGGUGUGGUGGCAGCCAUCACUUCAAGGAGAUCAAGAUGAGCAGCGAUGCGGCGGAUUCCACGGACACCCGGCACGAACCUGACCAAGUAGAGCCAGGUAAGGGGGUCCAGGACACGGGGGGCUGUUCAGCAGAGGGGCAGUGGGGUGCUGGAAGUUGCUGCCUUGCUUUGCUCCACGCCUGUUGCUCUGCAUCGUGCUCCCACUGCCAGCUGGGAGUUGAUCAAAAAUGCGCUCUGGGCGAGGAUUGCACCCAUAUCUUGAUCAGCAUGCAAGCUCCUCUGUCACAGCAGUGAAUCAGUGCGUGGCUCGGCAGUGUCCUCUGUGGUUUCAGCAAGGAAACGUGCUCCUCUCUUGCUAAAUGAAUUAUGCCACUGAAAUAGUCUUGGGCCGCCCAGCUUAGCGCAAAGGUUGUAUGCAGGGUCGAUGCCAGGAAUGUUUCCCCAUAUGCAGGGCCCAGCAACUGUGCCUUUUUUGGCCUCAUCUCUGUAGAAAAAUGGGAGGGACUUAUGGAAUACCCAAAUCCAGCCAGGUUGUUCCAGCCAGCAGGGAACGCCGCUCAUUUUGAAGUGUGAUGGGGUUUCUCAUCCCGCUCCCACCUGAUGCUCAGGCUGCUCUGUGGCUAGAAGCCCCAGAUUUCUUUAAGAAUGUAAAACUGAAGAGCAGAGUGAUCCUGAGAAUGGAACAGCACUGAGUUAUUCUAAUCCACCUACCGCUUCUUGCACUGCCACGAGGUGUGAGAUGCACUGGAAAAUCAAUGCUGUGUUUUCCAGCAUCGCUUCUGCCUGCAGUGGGCUUUGAGGGCAGGAUUCGAGGACAGAACUUCACAAAGGCUUACGGUCAGGUUCCUUUUCAGGCCAAUAAACAGCAAUAAGACAAGCA
rnacentral:lncRNA from 1 species